AACGCACCUUGCGCCCCUUGGUAUUCCGAGGGGCAUGCCUGUUCGAGUGUCUUGAAUUCUUCGCCCCUGCCGGUUUUGUAACGAGACCGGGAGGAAGGCGGACGUGGGGGCCUGCCGCGGCGACGCGGCUCCCCUCAAAUGCAUCGGUGGGGCUUCCGAGCGUUCCACGGGCGUUGUAUUGUCCUCGUCCGACACUGGGCCUCGUCACCCGCCUCGACCUGCCGUGAGAGCGGCGGUCAAAGCACUUUGAAAUCUGACCUCGAAUCAGGUAGGACUACCCGCUGAACUUAA
rnacentral:misc_RNA from 1 species